rnacentral:rRNA from 1 species
AUUGAACGCUGGCGGCAGGCCUAACACAUGCAAGUCGAGCGAGCGGCGGACGGGUGAGUAAUGUCUGGGAAACCGCCUGAUGGAGGGGGAUAACCACUGGAAAAGGUAGCUAAUACCGCAUACUAUCAGAUGUUCUCAGAUGGGAUUAGCUAGUAGGUGUGGUAACGGCUCACAUGGGCGACGAUCCCUAGCUGGUCUGAGAGGAUGACCGGCCACACUGGAACUGAGACACGGUCCAGACUCCUACGGGAGGCAGCAGUGGGGAAUAUUGCACAAUGGGCGAAAGCCUGAUGGAGCAAUGCCGCGUGUGUGAAGAAGGCCUUCGGGUGGUAAAGCACUUUCAGCAGGGAGGCGUUACCCGCAGAAGAAGCAACGGCUAACUCCGUGCCAGCAGCCGCGGUAAUAC